GUCGAACGGUAACAGGAAGCAGCUUGCUUUUUUGCUGACGAGUGGCGGACGGGUGAGUAAUGUCUGGGAAACUGCCUGAUGGAGGGGGAUAACUACUGGAAACGGUAGCUAAUACCGCAUAACGUCGCAAGACCAAAGAGGGGGACCUUCGGGCCUCUUGCCAUCGGAUGUGCCCAGAUGGGAUUAGCUAGUAGGUGGGGUAACGGCUCACCUAGGCGACGAUCCCUAGCUGGUCUGAGAGGAUGACCAGCCACACUGGAACUGAGACACGGUCCAGACUCCUACGGGAGGCAGCAGUGGGGAAUAUUGCACAAUGGGCGCAAGCCUGAUGCAGCCAUGCCGCGUGUAUGAAGAAGGCCUUCGGGUUGUAAAGUACUUUCAGCGGGGAGGAAGGGAGUAAAGUUAAUACCU
rnacentral:rRNA from 1 species